CUUCCUCAAAUCGAAAUAUACAUGUUUCAAGGCAGUGGAUGUAUCGUAGAGAAGAUCUAACAACAAAAAAAGUUACACCGGAGUUCUGUGCUGGUUUGGAGCAAUUUAUGAGUUUUGCUUCAAUACAACCUUUAUGUCAAGAGCGUGGAAAAUUGCAAUGUCCAUGUAAAGGUUGUAGAAAUUUAAAAUUUCUGAAGUGGUCUGCAAACAUCUAUAUCGAAGGAGUUUUAUGGAUAAUUACUACGUAUGGCAUAUGCAUGGAGAAGAAGUCAGGACAGACGAAUACUGUUGUAUGGACACAGACAGAGGAGGGGUAUUUGAGCAAGUUCAACAACAAGAAGAAGAGCCGAAUAAUGAUGCAAAAGGAUUUUUCGACAUGCUCACGAUGGCAAAUCAUCCUAUAUACGAAGGAUGCAAACAAGAUUGAGAAGGAUAUAUGAAUCUGAGAAAACGGUAUCACAUAUGAGAUGGCAUGCAAAUCAUUCGAGCUCAACAAAAGAUAUGCAACAUCCAUUUGAUGGCAUUGCAUGGAAAGAUUUCAAUAAGGUAUUUCCUGAUUUUGCUACUGAGCCUCGGAAUGUUUAUCUCUGCUUAUGCACGGAUGGUCUUAGUCUGUACGGACAAUCUGACAUGCAAUAUUCAUUAUGGUCUGUGAUACUCUCGCCAUAUAAUUUGCCCCCGGAGAUGUGUCUGAAAAGAGAAUUUAUGUUUCUAACGUUGUUGAUUCCUGAGCCAGAUCACCUGAAGAAGAGUUUUGAUGUGUUUCUACAACCUUUGAUUAAGGAAUUGACAGAUUUGUGGAGCAUUGGAGUUCCUACAUAUGAUGUUAGUGUGAAACAAAAUUUCACACUAAAAACUAUGCUUCUAUGGACGAUCAGCGAUUUUCCUGCAUAUGGUAUGCUAUGUGGAUGGAGCACACAUAGAAGAUUGUUAUGUCCUUAUUGUAUGGAAGAAAUUGAUGCGUUUUACUUAAAGCACAGACGGAAAUCGUGUUGGUUCGAUUGUCAUCGAUGGUUUCUUCCAAUGCAUCAUCCAUUACGGAAAAACCGUACUGUGUUUGUGAAAGGUAGAAUGUUAAAGAGUAUGCUUCAAUAUUGCAGAUAGGCUUCCAAAUUUAUUCUGAAUGGAUGAACAAUGGUGUUAUUGACGAUUUGCAAGAAUCCGUUCGAUGUGGAGGUAAUUUUGGUAUACAAAGUGCAAAGGAUUUGAUGAUUGACACAACAGGAAUGAAAAGGAUAAUGUCAAUUCGAGGAAAGACAUGAAGAAAAUCUGUAAAAGAAAAGAGUUGGAGCUAACACACGAUGGUACGACACCAACUCCAAUCUUUAGAUUACUGGAUCCUGGAAAGAAAGUAUUGAUGAAGUGGUUGCAGGAAGAAGUGAAAUUUCCUGAUGGAUAUGCCUCCAAAAUAGCUUGUUGCAUUGAUAUGGAGUCAACGAAGCUUAUAGGAAUGAAGGGCCAAGAUUGUCAUGUUUUUAUGCAACGUCUCAUUCCGAUUGCUUUUGCAGAACUGUUAAAACCGAGUGUACACGAAGGAUUAUGUGGUAUAAGUUCAUUUUUCAGAGAUAUUUGUGCCAGAAAUUUAAGAAGAAGCAAUUUGGAAGUUCUAAAGAUCAACAUCCCGGAGAUACUAUGUGCCUUGGAAAAGGUAUUCCCGCCUUCAUUUUUUGAUGUGAUGGAGCAUUUAACCGUUCAUUUGCCAGAUGAAGCGAUCGUAGGAGGUCUAGUUCAAUUUUAGGUGGAUGUAUCCAUUUGAAUGGUUUUUCUUCCAUUUAAAGAAAAAGGUGAAUAACAAAAUUGCGGUUGAAGGUUCAAUUGUGAAGCAAUAUUUGUUGGAAGAAAUCACAUAUUUCAGCUCAUUUUAUUUUGAACAUCGAAUUCCGACGAAGGAACGGAGAUCAGACAAUAAUGAUUUGGAUACAUAUCUAUAUCAUUAUGAAUCGGUUUAAGGACGACAUUCCGGAGAUUUUUAUGCCAACAGGCCGGAUGGGUGGUAAAUCAGAGGAAUAUUGGUUAACUGUACAGGAGUACAACCAUCUCGCUACUUAUAUUUUAUUGAAUUGCGCAGAACUUCGUCAUUAUGAGAGGAUCUUUGAGAAGCAGGUUUUAGAAGCUUACCCAAAUUUAAGUGCUGAAGCUUUCGACAAAUUAAAACAAGAAAACUAUGCAUCUUGAUUCAGAGACUAUGGCUCAGCAGAAGAGUGAUGUCAUGGCCGAUCAUGUUCACGUGUGGAUACACAUUUCACACGUAUGAACAUGGGAAACAUCGUAAUACGUUCAACUACGGAGCGUGCAUCAAGAAUUCGAAUUACAGUGAUUCAUCAGAUGAUCCGAAUUUUUUGGAGUUUUACAUCAGAUCAUCCAGAUCGAAUAUCCCAGAUUAGUCGGUCUGAAAACAGUUGUAAUACCCCGAAACCAGAUUCAAAUAUUUAAUUAUUUAGAAAUAAAUAAUUAAAUAGAGAUAUCACGAAAUCAUCAAAAAUGAAUAGUACAAUGCCGGAGAGAGGCACGAGGAUCGUCACGUGCGGAAAGAAUCAACAAAAAGAAAAAGAAAAAAAAAGAAAAAAAAAAUAUAAAGGUUGGUCCGCCGGAUCAAGACUUGGUCCGGGGCGGACCAACCUGCUCAGCCGGAGUUGGAACGCACGGAGCGGACUGGGGAAGAGUUGCGAAAAAAAAAUAUCUGACCCCGGUCCGGCGGACCAGGCAGUUGGUUCGGCGGACCGGGAUUCGACAGAAAUUGUAACUUGCUCUGUUGCUACCUUGGGACGCGUAAUUCCGCCGGAUUUUGGGGCCCGCUCGACGCCAGCCGCCUCCCACGCAUCGAGGACAUUGAGGCCUGGGCUUGAGCCCGAGAACUCCCUAUCUCGCAGCAAAAACCUCUCCCAACCCUCUGCCUUAGCCAUUUUCGAGCUGAAACAGGGGAGAGAGGAAAGAGAGAGAAAGGGAGAGGGAGGAGGCGAACCAGUACAAGGGGAGCUCGGAAAAACAAAGGGGGACGUUCCUAGACGUGCCCUAAAGGUGUUCACGGUGUGAGGAGGAGCAGAGGACGCACACAAGCUCGGACAAACUCAAGAACAAUAUCAUGAGGAUUACGCCUAGCGCAUCGGAUGACGACAACCUGAGGAAAACAACAUCAUGUACGGGAUUUUUAUUCUGGACUAUGGAACUUGUAUUCCCGCAUUUUGUACGGUUAUAUUAUGACU